CAAGUCGAACGAUUAAGACUUCCUUCGGGAAGUGCAUAAAGUGGCGCACGGGUGAGUAACACGUAAGUAAUCUACCUUUGAGUGGGGAAUAACCCGGGGAAACCCGAGCUAAUACCGCAUAAUGCAGCGGCAUCGCGAGAUGACAGUUGUUAAAGGAGCAAUCCGCUUAAAGAGGAGCUUGCGGCAGAUUAGCUAGUUGGUAAGGUAAUGGCUUACCAAGGCUACGAUCUGUAUCCGGUCUAAGAGGACGGUCGGACACACUGACACUGAAUAACGGGUCAGACUCCUACGGGAGGCAGCAGUCGGGAAUUUUGGGCAAUGGGCGAAAGCCUGACCCAGCAACGCCGCGUGAAGGAUGAAGUAUUUCGGUAUGUAAACUUCGAAAGAAUAGGAAGAAUAAAUGACGGUACUAUUUAUAAGCUCCGGCUAACUACGUGCCAGCAGCCGCGGUAAUACGUAGGGAGCAAGCGUUGUUCGGAUUUACUGGGCGUAAAGGGCGCGUAGGCGGCGUGUCAAGUCGAUUGUGAAAUCUCCGGGCUUAACUCGGAACGGCCAAUCGAUACUGACGUGCUAGAGUGCAGAAGGGGCAAUCGGAAUUCUUGGUGUAGCGGUGAAAUGCGUAGAUAUCAAGAGGAACACCUGAGGUGAAGACGGGUUGCUGGGCUGACACUGACGCUGAUGCGCGAAAGCCAGGGGAGCAAACGGGAUUAGAUACCCCGGUAGUCCUGGCCCUAAACGAUGAAUACUUGGUGUCUGGAGUUUCAAUACUCCGGGUGCCGUCGCUAACGUUUUUAGUAUUCCGCCUGGGGAGUACGCUCGCAAGAGUGAAACUCAAAGGAAUUGACGGGGACCCGCACAAGCGGUGGAGCAUGUGGUUAAUUC
rnacentral:rRNA from 1 species